UACGUAGGGAGCGAGCGUUGUCCGGAAUUACUGGGUGUAAAGGGAGCGUAGGCGGGCGAGAAAGUUGAAUGUUAAAUCUACCGGCUUAACUGGUAGCUGCGUUCAAAACUUCUUGUCUUGAGUGAAGUAGAGGCAGGCGGAAUUCCUAGUGUAGCGGUGAAAUGCGUAAAUAUUAGGAGGAACACCAGUGGCGAAGGCGGCCUGCUGGGCUUUAACUGACGCUGAGGCUCGAAAGCGUGGGGAGCAAACAGG
rnacentral:rRNA from 1 species